rnacentral:tRNA from 1 species
UCCGGUGUGGUCUAGUGGCUAGGAUACCUGGCUUUCACCCAGGAGGCCGGGUUCGAUUCCCGGUACCGGAA